rnacentral:misc_RNA from 1 species
AAACCGGAACAGGGGGCCAUAUUCGGCUCUGUGGCUCACAUAAGAGGAAGCCUUGUGUCGGUAAAGCGCCUCACGAGGAGCAAUAUCAACUCGACCAACAUGCCAAAGCAAGUGUUGGAGGAACUUAACAGACUCAUGGAGAUGAAGCACCAGAAUUGUUGUGCUUUCGUUGGAGCAUGUAUAGACCCCGGUCGAAUCCUUCUACUGUGGGAAUACUGUCACAAAGGGAGUUUACAGGAUGUAAUUUGGAAUCAAAACAUCAAACUAGAUAGAAUGUUCAUGUUCGCGCUGUCUCAGGAUAUAGCAAAGGGGUUAGAUUUUGUUCACAAGAGCUCAAUUCAUUACCAUGGAAACUUGAAGAGUUCUAACUGCGUGGUGGACAGCCGAUGGACGUGCAAGUUGGCGGACUUUGGGGUUCCAAGCCUACGUCAUUCUGACAAGUGUCAUAAAGAGGAUGAGAACCCAGACAAACUGCAAUGGACUGCGCCUGAACUGCUUCGAUUGGAGAAGUCGAUUGACAAACAAAAGGUCGAUAUCUUUUCUCUGGGGAUCAUUCUUAAAGAGAUCUUCACUCGAUCAGGUCCUUACACAGAAUACCCUUUCCUAAGAAUACACGAAUUAAUAGACAAGGUUCGAUACCCGGUGUGUGGAGCCCCAACAUUCCGUCCAAAGCUCUCUGUGGAGGUCCAGCAAACACCAGAGUUACACGCCUUGAUUGAUGAAUGCUGGAAUGAAAGUGUGUUCGUUAGACCUUCUGCCGGGAGAAUACUGAAAACUCUGGCUAGAAUUAAUCCUUCAAAAAUGACUAUGAUCGACAAUAUGAUUGCCAUUUUGGAAAAGCAUGCCAAUCAUCUCGAGGAGUUGGUGGCGGAGAGGACCAGUGAGCUAGACGCCGAGAAGAAAAAGACCGAGAAUCUGCUGUACAGGAUGCUUCCACAGUCUGUUGCGGAUGAUUUAAAGAAAGGAAAGCCUAUUGAAGCAGAACAUUUUGACGAAACAACGAUUUAUUUCUCCGAUAUUGUCGGAUUUACAACGAUAUGUGCUGGAAGUACACCAAUACAGGUGGUCAACUUGCUCAACAGUUUGUAUACGCUCUUCGAUGAUAUCAUCACAAGAUACGAUGUUUACAAGGUUGAAACAAUAGGGGAUGCAUACAUGUUGGUAAGUGGUUUGCCAAAACGGAACGGAAACCGACACUCCAAAGAGAUAGCAGAUUGCGCAAUGGAUAUCAUGGCCUCGAUAGGCACUUUCUGUAUCCCACAUCAGCCAAACGCAAAAGUGAAAAUAAGAAUAGGAAUCCACUCUGGUCCGGCUGUCGCAGGAGUUGUCGGCCUUGCUAUGCCACGAUAUUGUCUUUUUGGUGAUACUGUAAACACUGCCUCUCGCAUGGAGUCAACUGGUUUACCACUUAAGAUCCACCUAAGUUCCAUGACAAGAGACCAGCUGGAAACGUUUGGUUGUUAUCACAUAUUGUACAGAGGAGAAACAAACGUCAAAGGCAAAGGAAUCAUGAAAACAUAUUUUUUGAAUGGCAGGGAUGGUUUUACAAAAGAAUUGCCAAGCAUUUCUGAAGAGGGGAUGUGUUUAAAAUUUUCACCAUCUGCUACAAGUGAUCUACACUAUAUGGGGGUAGCUACCUCACCCGGGACACCCAAAACAAGUGUAACUGCAAUUGGCGAAGGACUAAUUAUAGAGAGAAAGGAAAUGCCGUCUGUGAAUGAUACACUCCAAGGAUUUUCUGGAGAAGACAGUAAGAAAAAGUGUGCUUCUGAUGUCAUGUCUCUGAAUUUAGGUGACGUCUUACCAGACUCUGUUAUAAAAACUGUAGAAAGAUUCCGAAAAACAGGAUUGAACUGUUUUCCGCAGGAUACAAAUGAAAAAGGACUAUCUCGAAGGCAUAGUUACAAUGAUGCAGCAAAGAAAAAUUGUUUCAUCCCUCCGUCGCAUGAUGCUGUGCCAAUUUACUGAACAUGAGUCUGAUGAUAUUGGAAAGAAACUGAGCACAGGUAGUCAGGCGACAGAUUCCGGGAUAGGAAGCUUCCGGCGAACGGGUAGCAGCAGCAGCUCUUUGAAUGACGUCAUAACCUCGUCAUCAAAGAACAUAACUUGCUUGGAUGAAAUCAAUGUCAAUUGUUUAAUGAACAGAAACGUGAAAUCUUCCCCAGACAUGAUGAAUUCGACCCCAAGAGAAAAUGGUAAAGUCCACAAGCGGAAGUUCAGCACAGGGGAUGUUAUAGAUAGCAUUCAGAGUUACAGGAAUGGAUAUAGUGCCGGAAAGCUCAAAAUACGCAAACUAAGUGCUGAGAGUUUCUUUGAAGGAUAUUGCAUAAGUAAGAAAACUCCAAAGCAGGAAGAAACUCACGGAAGGAAAUACAGCAUAGAAAGUUUCAUCCGGGGGUUACUGGGGAACAAAACAAAAAUGAAUAAAUCACAAUCAACGGUGAAAGAACCUUGCAUGAUAAAGAACAUAGAAAAACACACCAAAGACUCGCGUCCUGUGAACAGUUGCUCUUUAACAGAAAACUGUCAUGAAAACCUGGCUUUCCAGGGCGACCAAAACGAAUUACAUAAACACGACGAAGCAACAGUGCAGGAAAUUGUGAACGAACUACACGAAAUGGCAACUGAUCCAAACAAUAUGGCGCCUGGUGUCUUACCGGUGGAUAAAUUGCCAAUAUCCCUUAGACACAUCUUUCCUCGGCACAGAGUUCUAGCCAAGUCGGACUUUGGAUACGAUACAACUGAGAACUUGAGCAUCGCGAGCGCAACAACUUUUCUGUGAUAAGUCAGCAUUUUAACAAUAUUGCCGACGCUUUUUUGUCUCGUCAUAUAUAUGCAUGCAUGAACGAUCAUAAAUUUUGUUUGUUUUGUACUUAAUUGUGCCAAAAUAUCAAAUUAAAUCUUACAAAAAUACA